CUAAAAUGGGACUUGGAAAACAGAAAAAUACGUAAGCAUCCUCUUUCAGGCCAGUAAAGUGGGGUACUAUCAUCUAAAUCUCCAAAAAGGUCAUUCAACUCUGAUCCCUGUUUAAAGAGAGAAAAAAGGAAUAAAGGAGCCUUUGAAGGCAGAAUAUUGCUCACUCAUCUCUUUGAAAGGACCUCAGACUGCAGAGCAGAAGAACCACUGGCUACAUCAGCUGGGGCAGAGGGGGAUGAAGAGAACAUCAUGAU
rnacentral:lncRNA from 1 species